rnacentral:rRNA from 1 species
AAUGAACGCUGGCGGCAGGCCUAACACAUGCAAGUCGAGGGGUAGAGCUAGCUUGCUAGCUUGAGACCGGCGCACGGGUGCGUAACGCGUAUGCAACCUACCCUUUUCUGGGGGAUAGCCCGGAGAAAUCCGGAUUAAUACCGCAUAAGACCACGAUACGGCAUCGUGAUGUGGUCAAACAUUUAUGGGAGAAGGAUGGGCAUGCGUGCCAUUAGCUAGUUGGCGGGGUAACGGCCCACCGAGGCGACGAUGGCUAGGGGAUCUGAGAGGAUGGCCCCCCACACUGGUACUGAGACACGGACCAGACUCCUACGGGAGGCAGCAGUAAGGAAUAUUGGUCAAUGGGGGCAACCCUGAACCAGCCAUGCCGCGUGCAGGACGACGGCCCUCCGGGUUGUAAACUGCUUUUGUACGGGAAUAAACCCCGCUACGUGUAGCGGGCUGAAUGUACCGUAAGAAUAAGGAUCGGCUAACUCCGUGCCAGCCGCCGCCGUAA